rnacentral:rRNA from 1 species
AACGAACGCUGGCGGCAGGCUUAACACAUGCAAGUCGAGCGCCCCGCAAGGGGAGCGGCAGACGGGUGAGUAACGCGUGGGAAUCUACCCAUCUCUACGGAAUAACGCAUGGAAACGUGUGCUAAUACCGCAUACGUCCUUCGGGAGAAAGAUUUAUCGGAGAUGGAUGAGCCCGCGUUGGAUUAGCUAGUUGGUGGGGUAAGGGCCUACCAAGGCGACGAUCCAUAGCCGGUCUGAGAGGAUGAUCAGCCACACUGGGACUAAGACACGGCCCAGACUCCUACGGGAGGCAGCAGUGGGGAAUAUUGGACAAUGGGCGCAAGCCUGAUCCAGCCAUGCCGCGUGAGUGAAGAAGGCCCUAGGGUUGUAAAGCUCUUUCACCGGUGAAGAUAAUGACGGUAACCGGAGAAGAAGCCCCGGCUAACUUCGUGCCAGCCGCCGCUGUAACAC